rnacentral:rRNA from 1 species
CCCUCCUACGGGACGCAGCAGUAGGGAAUCUUCCACAAUGGGCGAAAGCCUGAUGGAGCAACGCCGCGUGGGUGAAGAAGGUCUUCGGAUCGUAAAACCCUGUUGUUAGAGAAGAAAGUGCGUGAGAGUAACUGUUCACGUUUUGACGGUAUCUAACCAGAAAGCCACGGCUAACUACGUGCCAGCAGCCGCGGUAAUACGUAGGUGGCAAGCGUUAUCCGGAUUUAUUGGGCGUAAAGGGAACGCAGGCGGUCUUGUAAGUCAGAUGUGAAAUCCUGUAGCUUAACUACAGAACUGCAUUUGAA